UGGACACUCUCUUAGGCCAGAGAAUUCUCUUUGAGCGCCAAACCCUUUUCCUCUAUUUUCCUUUCACGCGGCUUCUUAGACACGCUUUACAUCCGUAUCAUUCAAAAACCCUAAUUUUCUUUAAUCCUCCUGAACAUCUAUCCUUUUUCCCCCAUUUUCUUUCAUCAAUCUCCCGUUUUUAUCAAUGACAACUUCAUCUAUUGAAUUCAUCUAUGUUGAUUUCCUCAAAUCCUGGUAUGUUCAUGUAACCGUAGAUUUUAUCCACCUGCUCUUUGUCUUCUUCAUCUCACGUGCUCCUCUUUGUCUCUCGGCGACGAUCCGGUUUCGAUUUUUGAAUUUAUUUUAACUGGUUUUUGAAGACUAGCAAAGUUAACAAUCGGGUGACACGAUGAGUUCCCUUUAAGACUUUACUUCAAUGGGAGUCCAGUUUAGUAUUUAUACAUGUUGGAAUGCUAAACCUCCUAUUAUUGUAGUUGCAGUGAGUUUAUUUGGCAAGAAAUGCUCACUGCUUUUGAAACAAACCAGUAGGUAGACAUUGAGGUACAAAGCUACUGAUGCAAUGAUCAAAGGACCUGGAAAAUUGAAAAUGGUAUUUAGUAUGGUUACCUUCUUUGUCUCUAUGCACUAAAAUGUGAUGAUUGGUUUGACUUACUUAACCCAUUUGACCUGUUUGAGAUUUCCCAAACCAUUAGGUAUGUUUUGCCACCCAUUAUGUUUUUGUUAGCUACUUUUCAUAUUAUAAUCUGAAAUUUAUGUUGUUUCAUGGAACUGCUCUCAGUGGCAUUAAAUUUCAGCAAUGAAUCAAGUAGCUAUAUCUAAUUAUGUCACCUAAUAUCUUUACUAGACAAUUUUGUUUAUUAUUUAAAUUAAAGAUAUUUAACUCUCCCAAUGCUUUACUUUGAAGGUUAGAAUAUAACAGUUGAGUUUAGGAUACACACCAAAUAGCUGUUGACCAUACUAUAAACUUUCCAGCAACAUAACAUCAAAUCUUCAAUAACCUGCUGAUUAUCUACCUUGAUCGUUACUGUAGUAGCUUUAAUCAAAGGCAGAUUCUCAUUAAUUCAAUAUUUGAAGUUGACUUUUCUCAAUUGGCGAUUAAGUGUACCCUACUUUUUUUGCAUAGAUCUUUAGUCACUUAGUUUGAUCAACAUCAUAAUGACUUCAGCUUGGCAUAUUAUAGUGUAACCAAAAGACAAGUUGUUGACUUUCUUUAGCUCCAAUUCAAACUGAUGCAUAGACUUGUGUAAUCGUGAGAAUUGUAAUUCUAUGGAAACAAAUACUAUAAACAAUCUUUGAUAUAUGAUUUAGGUGUUGAUAAGCCUUCAUGUAGGUGAUUACUUAAUUUCUGAAGUUGGAAACUUACUUGAUGAUAGCGUGGGGCAAAAUGUCAAGUUGGAAUUUGAAAGGAGUGGCACGCCUUUGAUCAUUCAGUUGGUGGUGAGUGACCGGCCUUUAUAUCCAGGCUGAAGACUUACACUCAGUAACUCUUUCGGAGUUAGUGGUGGAGUUAUACAUGCUCAAAGUUGAGCUACUCUGAGUUUGAAAACAUUUUUGAUAGAUCGAUAACGGUGAACAAGUAACAAGAAAGGUGACAAACAAUGAUAUGAAAAGGCAGCUACCGAUGCUGGUUUUGUAGGUGAGUCCAGAAUAUCAAGAUGCAACGUGUGUGAUCAAGGAAAGAAUGACAAUGGCGCUACGUUACUUUAUAGAAUUGGGUGAAAAGCAUGUUUUAGCUCAAGUUUGGGCGCCUGUGAAAAACAAGGGUCGAUACGUGCUCACAACAUCUGGUCAACUGUUUGUUCUUGACCUGAAGUGCACUGGGCUUCAUCAGUACAAAAUGGCUUCUUUGAUGUAUUCGUUUUCUGUUGAUGGUGAGACUAAUGGAGUUCUUGGGCUUCCAGCUCGGGUUUUCAGACAGAAGCUUCCUGAAUGGACUCCGAAUGUGCAAUAUUAUUCUGAUAAAGAGUACCAACAACUUAAUCAUGCUUUGAGUUAUGAUGUUCAUGGAACCCUCGCUUUGCUUGUGUUUGAACCUUCUGGUCAAUCGUGUGUUGGUGUGCUUGAGUUGAUUUUGACUUCACAGAAAAUAAAUUAUGCCCCGAGGUUGAUAAAGUCUGCAAGGCACUUGAGGCGGUAAAUUUGAAAAGUUCAAACAUAUUGGAUUCUCCGAAUACGCUGGCAAGCAGGAUGGCGGCAACCUUGGGAAGGGCAUGGACAUGGAGAUGAACAUUAGAAACUAAAGGAUGGCGAGAUGGCGGUGAAGCGAUCUGGAUGUUUUCGGGCCACUGGAUGUUACCACAGUUAGAAGUUAUGUUGUGGGCACCGUCCAAAUAAGAUAUGCACAAAUGGAGUGAUCGUCGGUUGCAGGGCUAUUCUAUGCAAACUACGCCAUUUAUUCCGCAGUUCUUAAUUUGUAGGUGGUUAAUUUGAGAUUUAUGGAACACAAAGGUACUUGAUUCACAAAUUGAUUAGAAUAUGUGUAACACCCUAGUUACUAUUUAACGGUUUACAU